rnacentral:rRNA from 1 species
CCCCCUUUUUUUAACAAACAUGUCUUAAUGUUUUUUAUAUUAAGUCUGGUCUGCUCAAUGAUUGAUUUAAAUAGCCGCAGUAUUUUGACUGUGCGAAGGUAGCAUAAUCAUUUGUCUCUUAAUUGGAGGCUUGUAUGAAUGAUCGGAUGAGAGAGUAACUUUCUUUACAUUAAAUUGACUGAAUUUAACUUUUUGGUUAAAAGGCUUAAAUUUUUAAGUGGGACGAGAAGACCCUAUAGAAUUUUAUUUUCUUUAUAAGUUAUUUUAUUAUGGUAAUUAAAUAAUUUUGAUUUUAAAGUUAAUUUUGUUGGGGUGACAAUGAGAUUUUAAUAACUCUUAUAUUGUAUAUUUUAUUGAUUUGUAUGUUUUUUGAUCCUUAAAUUGGGAUUAUUAGAUUAAAUUACCUUAGGGAUAACAGCGUAAUUUUUCUGGAGAGUUCUUAUCGAUGGAGAAGUUUGCGACCUCGAUGUUGGAUUAAAAUUAGAUUUAAGUGCAGAAGCUUAAUUUCUAGGUCUGUUCGACCUUUAAAUUUUUACAUGAUCAAUUUUCAAACCG